UUACGGCUAUAUCACGAUGAGACACAGGUUCCUGUACGAUCACCGAAGUUAAGCAACGUCAAGCAUAGUCAGUACAUUGGUGGGUGACCGAUUGAGAAUACCAAGUGU